GCCACAUCACGCUGAAACACCGAUUCCUGUACGAUCACAGAAGUUAAGCAAUGUCGAACCUGGUCAGUACCUAGAUGUGUGAGCGCCUGGGAAUACUAAGAUCUGUAA